AAGAUGGCGGCGUAGGCAGACUCUGAACUCACCUCCUCCCGCAGACACAGCCAAUUUACAACUACUCGUGGAAAAAUUACCCCUGAGACAGAACUGAAAACUGGAUAAGAGGAACUCAUGCAACAAAGAACAAUCCUAAUUGAGGUAGAAGAGGCAGAAACUCCCUUCUGGAGAGAAAAAACGCCGCCUUCACAAGCCGCAGCACCUCACGGCCGCCGGGAGCAGCUCACAGUAUUCCUAUCUGCAAAGUGGAAGCACUUAUUCAGAAAAUUCUUCACAAACCACCAUGAAGAAGCAGCUGGCAUGGAGGAAAUUCAUCCAGACACUGCAAAAGGCUACUAAAAAGGCUGUGUCCUACAGGAAGGCAGACACUAAUGCUUCAUAAAAGGAAAAAAUUCAUGACCUAAGCUCAAACUCACAAGGACAUUGAAGAGAAUUAAUUGAGAUAAGUGAAAAAAGACUGGACUCUUACAAAUAGAAAAACCCUCAAGAAACCGAUGAACAGGGAAAAAGUAUUCAAAUAUCUUUAAAGCUUUCCGGGGACCCUGCAGUGCACAAAGUUAGUCGCACUCUAUAGUAUUUUACCAAAAAUUCUCAGCAAGCUCACAUGUACUGAAUUAAAUAUCUCUAAACUUUGUCACAAUAAAAUGAU